rnacentral:rRNA from 1 species
AGAGUUUGAUCCUGGCUCAGAAUCAACGCUGGCGGCAUGCCUAACACAUGCAAGUCGAGCGAGAAAGUGUAGCAAUACAUGAGUAAAGCGGCGCACGGGUGAGUAACACGUGGAUAACCUGCCUCAAAGUGGGGAAUAACACCGGGAAACCGGUGCUAAUACCGCAUAUUCUGACGAGAUCUGCGGAUUUUGUCAGGAAAGGAGCAAUUCGCUAUGAGAGGGGUCCGCGGCUGAUUAGCUAGUUGGUGAGGUAAUGGCUCACCAAGGCUUCGAUCAGUAGCCGGUCUGAGAGGACGGUCGGCCACACUGGAACUGAGACACGGUCCAGACUCCUACGGGAGGCAGCAGUGGGGAAUUUUUCGCAAUGGGGGCAACCCUGACGAAGCAAUGCCGCGUGGAUGAUGAAGUAUCUCGGUACGUAAAAUCCUUUCGACGGGGACGAAACCGCAAGGUGACGUACCCCGAGAAGAGCCCCGGU